GAUGAACGCUGGCGGCGUGCCUAAUACAUGCAAGUCGAGCGAACAGACGAGGAGCUUGCUCCUCUGACGUUAGCGGCGGACGGGUGAGUAACACGUGGAUAACCUACCUAUAAGACUGGGAUAACUUCGGGAAACCGGAGCUAAUACCGGAUAAUAUAUUGAACCGUAGGGUGCAAUAGUAAAAGACGGUUUUGCUGUAACUACUCGAUGGUUCCGCGCCGCAUUAGCUAGUUGGUAAGGUAACGGCUUACCACGGCAACGAUGCGUAGCCGACCUGAGAGGGUGAUCGGCCACACUGGAACUGAGACACGGUCCAGACGCCUACGGGAGGCAGCAGUAGGGAAUCUUCCGCAAUGGGCGAAAGCUUGACGGAGCAACGCCGCGUGAGUGAUGAAGGUCUUCGGAUCGUAAAACUCUGUUAUUAGGGAAGAACAAAUGUGUAAGUAACUAUGCACGUCUUGACGGUACCUAAUCAGAAAGCCACGGCUAACUACGUG
rnacentral:rRNA from 1 species